GCCAGCAGCCAUAUCACCCUGCAACUCACAACUGGCAGCCCACUGAAGCUUAGCAGGUGUGAGCCUGGUCAGUACCUGGAUGGAAAACCUCCUGGGAAAAACUAAGGUUGCUGCUGGAA
rfam:Lepisosteus oculatus linkage group LG11, whole genome shotgun sequence.